UACGAAGGGGGCUAGCGUUGUUCGGAAUUACUGGGCGUAAAGGGCGCGUAGGCGGUGCCUCAAGUCAGGCGUGAAAGCCCCGGGCUCAACCUGGGAACCGCGCUUGAGACUGGAGUACUAGAGUUCGGGAGAGGAUGGUGGAAUUCCCAGUGUAGAGGUGAAAUUCGUAGAUAUUGGGAAGAACACCGAUGGCGAAGGCAGGUCUCUGGGCCACUACUGACGCUGAGAAGCGA
rnacentral:rRNA from 1 species